CGAAGCGUGCUGUUGGAGUGCACGUCCAAGCAGUGAGAUUGAGUGUUAGGCAAAUCCGGCACUCUUAAGAUUGAGCUGUGAUGGGGAGAGGAACUUGUUCCUCGAGUCGUUGAUUUCACACUGCCGAGAAAAGCCUCUAGCUAGAAUAACGGUGCCCGUACCGCAAACCGACACAGGUAGUCAAGAUGAGAAUUCUAAGGUGAGCGAGCGAACUCUCGUUAAGGAACUCGGCAAAAUGACCCCGUAACUUCGGGAGAAGGGGUGCUCUUUGAGGUUCACGCUUCGAAGAGCCGCAGUGAAUAGGCCCAAGCGACUGUUUAUCAAAAACACAGGUCUCUGCUAAACCGUAAGGUGACGUAUAGGGGCUGACGCCUGCCCGGUGCUGGAAGGUUAAGAGGAGUGGUUAGCGCAAGCGAAGCUACGAAUCGAAGCCCCAGUAAACGGCGGCCGUAACUAUAACGGUCCUAAGGUAGCGAAAUUCCUUGUCGGGUAAGUUCCGACCCGCACGAAAGGCGUAACGAUUUGGGCACUGUCUCAACGAGAGACUCGGUGAAAUCAUAGUACCGGUGAAGAUGCCGGUUACCCGCGACAGGACGGAAAGACCCCGUGGAGCUUUACUGUAGCCUGAUAUUGAAAUUCGGUACAGUUUGUACAGGAUAGGUAGGAGCCUUAGAAGCGUGAGCGCUAGCUUACGUGGAGGCAUUGGUGGGAUACUACCCUAAUUGUAUUGGAUUUCUAACCCGCAGCACUUAUCGUGCUGGGAGACAGUGUCAGGCGGGCAGUUUGACUGGGGCGGUCGCCUCCUAAAGAGUAACGGAGGCGCUCAAAGGUUCCCUCAGAAUGGUUGGAAAUCAUUCAUAGAGUGUAAAGGCAUAAGGGAGCUUGACUGCGAGACCUACAAGUCGAGCAGGGUCGAAAGACGGACUUAGUGAUCCGGUGGUUCCGCAUGGAAGGGCCAUCGCUCAACGGAUAAAAGCUACCCCGGGGAUAACAGGCUUAUCUCCCCCAAGAGUUCACAUCGACGGGGAGGUUUGGCACCUCGAUGUCGGCUCAUCGCAUCCUGGGGCUGUAGUCGGUCCCAAGGGUUGGGCUGUUCGCCCAUUAAAGCGGUACGCGAGCUGGGUUCAGAACGUCGUGAGACAGUUCGGUCCCUAUCCGUCGUGGGCGUAGGAAAUUUGAGAGGAGCUGUCCUUAGUACGAGAGGACCGGGAUGGACAUACCUCUGGUGUACCAGUUGUCGUGCCAACGGCAUAGCUGGGUAGCUAUGUAUGGACGGGAUAAGUGCUG
rnacentral:rRNA from 1 species